GUACAGUAGGUAUGAUGGUGAAGGAAAUGAAAUCAGGGCAUGUCAUAGCUGUUGGGUGAGUGGGAAGAAGGAAAUGGAAGAGUCAAAGCUGCCAAACUUACUAGUUUUUCGUUUAAUAUUAGGGAGUCUAAUAGGAGGAACAAGGUUGGCUUUGAACAUGUUUUAUUUAAGAGAUUUCCAGGACAUUCUUUGAUUCAGUGAACUUAACAUUAAACUUGUCAUUAAAUUUUAUAUAUCAUUUAAUGCAUACUUCCAAAAAUUGUAGUAAAUACUUGAAGAUUUAUCUCAUUUUAUUCUCUUAACCCCUAUGGUUGGAAGAUAAAAUACCCUAUUAUUAAUAUAAAGAAAGUGAAGCUAACAGAUUUAGCUAAUCUGUUCACGAUUGGUGUAUUAGUCCGUUCUCACACUGCUAUAAAGAUACUACACAAGACUGGGUAAUUUAUAAAGGAAAGAGGUUUAAUGGACUCACAGUUCCACAUGGUUGGGGAGGCCUCAGGAAACUUAAAAUGAUGGCAGAAGGUGAAGGGGAAGCAAGGACCUUCAUCACAUGGUGGCAGGAGAGAGAAGUGCAAGCAGAGGAAAUGCCAGAUGCUUAUGAAACCAUCAGAUCUCAUGAGACUCACUCCCUGUCACAAGAACAGCACUGGGGAAACUGUCCCUAUGAUCUGAUCACCUCCCACCAGGUCUCUUCCUCAACACCUGGGGGUUACAAUUCAAGAUAAGAUUUGGGUGGAGACACAAAGCCUAACCAUAUCAAUUGGGUAAUUGAUUCAUGGCCAAGUUGGACUUAUACCACAACCAUCUUUCCAAAAUCAAAAUAAAUUGCAUAAGAAUUAUGUGGUGUAAAUCUAAAUAUAUAACUUUUUUUAUUUGAAAUUCAGCUUAAAAGUCAUGUUUAUCAUGCUGUAAACAUAAGAUUUUAAAUAAGAACCCUUAAAUAUUAUAGGUCUUAUACCUGUAUUUAUCUCUUAUGUUUCUUAUUGCAUGGAUUUCUCUGUUCUGCUAGAUCAGUGAUCAGCACACUAUGGCUUGUGCUCCACCUACCACUUGUUUUUAUAGAAAAGUUUUAUUGAAACAUAGCCAUGCACAUUCAUUUAUAUAUUGGGUAUUAUUGUCUUUGUACUACAAUGGCAGAGUUGAAUAGUUGCAACAGAAACUUCAUGGCCUUCAAAGCCUAUAAUAGUCCUCGUCUGGCCCUUCACAGAAAAAGUUUGCCAAUCCUUGUACCAAAUUGUAAGCUCCAUGAGAGUUUUCUGUAUUAAUCACUUGAGUGCCCCUGCAUCUGCAGAAAUUUCUGGCACAUGGUGUUGACUCUGUAGGAAGUUUUUGAAGGGAAAAGUGAAUUGAUUACCUUUAUAUUUCUGUAUCAAGGAAUACAAUAGUAUAUAUUCAGUUGCCGUUAAUGGAGAUGAGUUUUUCAAAAAUUAAUAUGGAUUCUGAAUUUCUUUAUUUUUAAAACUAUUUUGAGUGCUUAUACAAUUUUAUAAUUUGGGGAAGUUAAUCUCUAGAGAAGAAAAAAUGGCCCCUGUGUUGAUGAUCGGCAUAAGCCAAACAUGACUGAAAAACACAAUAAUGUUUUCUCCACCGCUGUUGCUUUUGUUUCUGUUGUUGCCAUACGCAUAGCUUUUUCUAAAGAGAGAUUUUCAGUUCUAGAUAGGUUGAGAUUGUUUUCUCUAAAUACCGUUUGUUCUAAUACUGUUUGUGAACAUAUUUAUGUUGUCUUCCUUAUUAAUACUUACAGAUCCUUAAUUUAAAAAGGAAACAAAAACCUAUUCUUUUUUUUUCCUGCAUUGCAUUAAGAAAUUAAAUGAGCAAGCCGCAGAACUCUUCGAAUCUGGAGAGGAUCGAGAAGUAAACAAUGGUCUGAUUAUCAUGAAUGAGUUUAUUGUCCCAUUUUUGCCAUUAUUACUGGUGGAUGAAAUGGAAGAAAAGGAUAUACUAGCUGUAGAAGAUAUGAGAAAUCGAUGGUGUUCCUACCUUGGUCAAGAAAUGGAACCACACCUCCAAGAAAAGCUGACAGAUUUUUUGCCAAAACUGCUUGAUUGUUCUAUGGAGAUUAAAAGUUUCCAUGAGCCACCGAAGUUACCUUCAUAUUCCACGCAUGAACUCUGUGAGCGAUUUGCCCGAAUCAUGUUGUCCCUCAGUCGAACUCCUGCUGAUGGAAGAUAAACUGCACACUUUCCCUGAACACACUGUAUAAACUCUUUUUAGUUCUUAACCCUUGCCUUCCUGUCACAGGGUUUGCUUGUUGCUGCUAUAGUUUUUAACUUUUUUUUUAUUUUAAUAACUGCAAAAGACAAAAUGACUAUGCAGACUUUAGUCAGACUGCAGACAAUAAAGCUGAAAAUCGCAUGGCGCUCAGACAUUUUAACCGGAACUGAUGUAUAAUCACAAAUCUAAUUGAUUUUAUUAUGGCAAAACUAUGCUUUUGCCACCUUCCUGUUACAGUAUUACUUUGCUUUUAUCUUUUCUUUCUCAACAGCUUUCCAUUCAGUCUGGAUCCUUCCAUGACUACAGCCAUUUAAGUGUUCAGCACUGUGUAUGAUACGUAAUAUUUGGUAGCUUGUAAAUGAAAUAAAGAAUAAAGUUUUAUUUAUGGCUACCUA
rnacentral:sRNA from 1 species